rnacentral:tRNA from 1 species
CAUAACACUGAAGAUGUUAGGGAAAUAUUUUUAUU